rnacentral:rRNA from 1 species
UACGAAGGGGGCUAGCGUUGCUCGGAACCACUGGGCGUAAAGCGCACGUAGGCGGCUCUUUAAGUCAGGGGUGAAAUCCUGGAGCUCAACUCCAGAACUGCCUUUGAUACUGGGGAUCUCGAGUCCGGGAGAGGUGAGUGGAACUGCGAGUGUAGAGGUGAAAUUCGUAGAUAUUCGCAAGAACACCAGUGGCGAAGGCGGCUCACUGGCCCGGUACUGACGCUGAGGUGCGAAAGCGUGGGGAGCAAACAGG